AUCAUUACCAGAGCCGAAAUGGCAGAUGCUGGAAACCCUGUAAUGAAGCGACUGCUGUUAAAGAUGACAUAGUCUAUGUUCGUGCUCUUUGUUGUAAAAUCGCUUUACAUGUUGCAAUUACAGCAUUGGACAUUAAUAACACCGGAGGCUUUGCUAUGUUGAAACGUGUUAGCAAUGACUGAUGUGGAGUCGACGUAUGCGGACUUCAUCGCCUCUGGUCGAACUGGAAGAAGGAAUGCUCUGCAUGAUAUCCUGGAGAGUCCAACCGAUUCGGAAGCUAGGGAGUUAUCCCUGAGCUUAUCCCAACUCAACAUACGCAAAACCGGUGAAGGCGAUGACUCUGAGGAAAGCCACGCCUCUUCUUCAGAUCCACCAGAGUCAGAAGAGGGUAAACAGGAAGGGAGCAGUUAAUCAGCUAACCUGAGCCCUCCCUGCCUCAGUAAUCACCACGUACUGUGCCGUGAAAAAGUGAAGGCGAUGACUCUGAGGAAAGCCACGCCUCUUCUUCAGAUCCACCAAAAUCAAAAGAGGUUAAACAGGAAGGGAGCGGUUAAUCAGCUAACCUGAGCCCUCCCUGCCCCAGUAAUCACCACAUACUGCACCUGCCUGCUGACCUGUCCUACGUUUCUUCCCUCUCCUCUCCCCUCUUUACCCUGGGGCCAACGCUGCCAAGGCUGGGGACUCUGACUCUGGCCUUCAAAAAUGACCCCCUCAAAGGCCGUACAGUCUGCCAGCCCCUGUGGCCCCUGUGGUCCCUGCCACAGGAAGGCCCGGGCAUUAAACCCCCGGAUUGUGCAGCCCGCUGCAUCCGUGUCUGCGUCUUUAAAUGACUGCUGAAGGGGCUUGACCACACCACCGGACUCCACGGCACUAUUGGAGGGCCUUUUUCUGCCGUACGGCGAGCCAAAAGAAUGGGGAUGGACUGUGAGAUAGAGAGGUUUGAGCUCUCAGGCUCAGUGUUGACCAGAGGGGGGGUUCCCCCUCCCACUCCCAGCAAUUUAGUAUGGGAAGGAGCAAAGUUUUAACCAGUUAUGCAUUGGGGUGAGUUGGCUCAGGCUGGAGGUUGUGCUGGUUUGGGGAACAACAGCCAUGGCGGGGGAACAUGUACACCUGCACAGGCCUUUCCUGUGUUCCCAGCACCUGGACCGAUGGAAAGCACCGUUGUAGUUCUUGCUGUUCUUUCUAUAUCUCACGUUUAGUUUGUGCGACGUUGCCGUUGCCACCAGGAGGAUAAAGGCAGACCGACUGCCAGAACUUGCUUCCAGCAGGAUUUCCUGUCAAAAGUGCUGUAAAAGCUAAUCAAAUGUGGCUUCACAAAAUGUGCGUAGUGUGUUUGUUACCGUAUAUUGACUGCCAAUUUUUUUUGCGAGAAGUUUCUGUUAAUUUAUUUGUUUUUACAACAGAAAUAGAAAAAAGGUAGGACUUUUGAUAUCUUUAUUUAUUGUAGUAAUGUCCUGUUAUUUCAACCACACUUUUGUUAAAACUGCAUUUUACAUGACUUUGCAGUAUGUGACGUUUGAUUUUGUAAAAUAGUGUAAAAAGGUUUUUGUGUUUUUUUAUAUAUACCAACACUGUCCAGAAGGGGGCUCCCAAGUUAGCUGUGACCUGCUAUGAGGCAUAAAUAAAGUUCACACUGAGGGGAUACUGCUGUACUGGAGUGGCAGUGCACAGAUAUUGUUACCUGUGUGCAAAUCUCCCAUGAUGCCACAGUGCAGAUCUUACCAUAUGCCCUGCGUCACCCAUCCCCACACAUACAGCAUUAAGACUGUGCCUGUUAACCCUUGUUACAUUUUCAUGGUUGAGAAUCUACUGUAUAGCCUUCUUUAUUAGAAUAUGCUUCCCUUUCCAAGAUCAACUGUGAACAGCCCCAUUAUAACAAUGACAAGAGAAGAGUGUUCCUCUUCUAUGUCAGUCUUCCCCGCAUCCUUCAUUCUCAGCUUUGAAAUGCUUAUCGCCGCUCUUCUGGUUAAAACUGUCAUUUGCGGCUUAAACCUUUUUGAUGCAGCCACAGUGCAGCCACGAACAGCAUCUUAAACACAUGAACAAAGCCUGCAUGCACAAGCGACUAUUUUACUAAAGCUUCCAAUACUAAUAGGGCUAUUCUGUAUACGUGCUGUCACAAUAGCUGUGUGUAGAUUUGCAAUUAACGAGGCACAUAUGGUACGGUUUGUAUAGAGCCUUUCAUUGAGAAUACUGUUUUGGAUUUAUCUUAUUCUUAAACCCAAGACCCCCCAAAAAUAAAUGAAUAAAUAACAUAAAAUUGGACAGUGCACGAUGAAAAAUCGCUGACAUGCCAUUAAAUUGUUCGAUGGGAACAAGGCUAAGCAUAGCCAAAUAUAACCAUUAAUAUAUCUGUGAAUUAUUAAUAGAAUAUGCAAUACAUUUUUUUCUAUAUUGUGAUAAUCGAGGCAGACUAGCAUGCCGUUUCUAAGGGUUGAUAAAAUCAAAUCCUUCACUUUCCUUCUCUUUGAAUCUCUUAUAACUGUUAUUUACAAUGUCUCAUUUUAAAUAUACAAAUACAUAUUUGAUGAUUUCUUGCUGAAACUAUGAUAUUGUAUAAUUCAUUAAUUUUCAUCCUCUGGUAAUUGUGUAAUGUAAUAUCAUUGGUGUUAUAAUUGUUAAAUGCAGAUGUCUGUUUAAUUUAUUUGUACAUUUAAAAAUAAUAAACUGUUAAUCCUGAA